AGAUUAUGAUUUCUUUGGGCUGUUAGUUAUUUAUUGUUUAUUGAUGCAAUGUGGGUCAUCUCAUUACUGAAAGCAUCAUAUGCUGUCGUGGUUCUUGCUUUGGACAUCAGAGGAGGGAACCGACGCUGAGGUUUUCCAGAAGGACACCACGGCCUUCACAGUCCAGCUGAGAGCGAUGCUCUACUCUCUGUCUUGGAAUUUUACAUUUUGAUGAAGGAGGAAGCUCGUCAGCCAAUCAGAGAGGCGGGAGCUGGAGCGGACCAUCGCGGCUCAGACGGCAGGGGGGUUCGGGGUCGUCUCGGCGGGCCGCCUACCCGCCACGCAGCUCAACGUCCCCGCGUCUCGCGUUGGCAGGUGGUACGACCCAGCGUGCGGGAUAAAAGCCCCCUCCUCCUCUGGCUGUGGUCCCCCCUACCCCCCCCCCCGUUCUGACAGCGUUAGGGUGUAGCUACAGAUGCUGUACUACAGCAGAAGACAGUGAGAGGAGUGGAAGGGAGGAGGGACAAACCGGGCUCAUUCCCACACAACGACCAGCUCCGGGGGGGCCGCCAGCACCCGCUCCUCUGCUUCACCAGUCAUCCCACCCACCCGUCCAGCUGGCGGGGCCACCUGCAGGAGUCAUCAGGAUGCAGAGCUGAGUCUGCGCCCCCCGGGGAGGGCUCGCCCAAGUGGAAUGCCUCCCCGGUUCUCCCUCCGUCAGAGCGCCAUCUGCUGACUCGGUGCGGAGGGACAGCUGGUGUUGUGAAUCAGGCCGCCACAGUCCAGGGACCGGCUACUUCCCAACACCAGGGUCUCAUCGCCGCCGCUCACGCCGCAGACCUCACGGGGUCUGAUGACGUUCCCAGAAAUGCAGCUUUGGUUCCUGAUGCUCUGAUGAAGAUGAUAAAACGACAUAAAUGAAUGUGGUUUUGUUUUCAAUAAAACUCUAACAUACAUCAUCCUUUUUCUCUCUUGCUUGUGGUGGAAAUAACACCCUUUCAUUCUUAUAGUGAAACAUUACAUUUCUAUAACAUACGGUGUGUUGAAGUUUUCACUAAACAUAAAAAGGCAUUUUGAAUAAAUGAGUGAAAGUGUGUAUACCUGCUUUAAAGGGCAGCCUAAAAUCAAAGCCACAAACACGCCUGAUGAAUAACAUGAGACGGCUGCUGGCUGUAAUCUCAGCUCUCCGAAACGGUUCAAACUUCCUGUGUUAAAGAGAUUUCAUUCUUCUUUCACUGCUGGAUGUUAAUGUUUGACUGAAAACACUUUAUAUAUAUUUCAGAUCAACAAAUGUGUAAAUUCAGGACUUUGAUGAAACAGGACAGUUUAUGUAAAGCUAAACAUGUUGACCCUCACAGUGAAAUAAAUAACAAAAUUAUUUUUCAGAAGGAAUUAAAAAU
rnacentral:lncRNA from 1 species